rnacentral:rRNA from 1 species
AUUGAACGCUGGUGGCAUGCUUUACACAUGCAAGUCGAACGGUAACAGGCCUUCGGGUGCUGACGAGUGGCGAACGGGUGAGUAAUGCAUCGGAACGUACCCAGAGGUGGGGGAUAACGCAGCGAAAGCUGUGCUAAUACCGCAUGUGAUCUGAGGAUGAAAGCGGGGGACCGAGCAGCAAUGUUUGGCCUCGCGCCUUUGGAGCGGCCGAUGUCGGAUUAGCUAGUUGGUGGGGUAAAGGCCUACCAAGGCGACGAUCCGUAGCUGGUCUGAGAGGACGACCAGCCACACUGGGACUGAGACACGGCCCAGACUCCUACGGGAGGCAGCAGUGGGGAAUUUUGGACAAUGGGCGCAAGCCUGAUCCAGCAAUGCCGCGUGCGGGAAGAAGGCCUUCGGGUUGUAAACCGCUUUUGGCAGGAACGAAACGGUGUCCGCUAAUACCGGGCGCUAAUGACGGUACCUGCAGAAUAAGCACCGGCUAACUACGUG